rnacentral:rRNA from 1 species
UACGUAGGGUGCGAGCGUUGUCCGGAAUUACUGGGCGUAGAGAGCUUGUAGGUGGUUUGUCGCGUUGUUCGUGAAAUCUCACGGCUUAACUGUGAGCGUGCGGGCGAUACGGGCAGACUAGAGUACUGCAGGGGAGACUGGAAUUCCUGGUGUAGCGGUGGAAUGCGCAGAUAUCAGGAGGAACACCGGUGGCGAAGGCGGGUCUCUGGGCAGUAACUGACGCUGAGAAGCGAAAGCGUGGGGAGCGAACAGG